CAACAGGGAUUGCCCUAGUAACGGCGAGUGAAGCGGCAACAGCUCAAAUUUGAAAUCUGGCUCUCGGGCCCGAGUUGUAAUUUGUAGAGGAUACUUUUGAUGCGGUGCCUUCCGAGUUCCCUGGAACGGGACGCCAUAGAGGGUGAGAGCCCCGUCUGGUUGGAUGCCAAAUCUCUGUAAAGUUCCUUCGACGAGUCGAGUAGUUUGGGAAUGCUGCUCUAAAUGGGAGGUAUAUGUCUUCUAAAGCUAAAUACCGGCCAGAGACCGAUAGCGCACAAGUAGAGUGAUCGAAAGAUGAAAAGCACUUUGAAAAGAGAGUUAAAAAGUACGUGAAAUUGUUGAAAGGGAAGCGUUUAUGACCAGACUUGGGCUUGGUUGAUCAUCUGGGGUUCUCCCCAGUGCACUCUUCCAGUCCAGGCCAGCAUCAGUUUUCCCCGGGGG
rnacentral:rRNA from 1 species